UCCGCCAUCUUCGGCUCCAGUGGGCCUGCGCGGCCGCGCCCUCCCCGCGGUGUUCCGCCAUCUUCAGCGCCCGAAAGGUCCAUCGCUCCACCCAGAAGCACCUCCUCGGGGACUAAGACAGGCACUCGGGCCUCAGGGAACACCCAGGUCUGCACUGCAGCAGAGAGGGACCCGUAGCAGACCCCUGGAAGCAGGAAACAAGAGCCAGCUAUUGGCGUAAUGAAGUGUUGCCGUCCAUCUGCCUUGUGAAGCAGCUGGCCUUUGAAGUCCUCCUCCAGCGUGCCUGGAUUUAUAUAUAGCUGUGUGUACUGCAAUGAAGACAUCAAGUAUGAAAAGUGGAGCAGCGCCCUCCUGAGGACAAAGUGGAUUUAACCAUCAGUGUCCCUCGAGAGUCCCUGGGUGCCCCAGACACACCUUGCCUAGGGAACCGCACCAGCUGCACAACUGGCAAGGCCAGAGCAGAAUAAAGACAUCAGGGUCCUUGUUCAGAACUUCCCAGAUUUUAAGGCAGUAAUAGCAGAGCAUUAUCCAUGGGAUCCUUUGAGCUGAGGCUUUGUUACCUGCUCUUGGAAUUGGCCCGACUUCGAAGCAUAGUUCUCCAUCCUCACCCUUACAGGGACAGCACGUGAUUCUCAUUACUGAAACCAAGGGACUUUUAGGUAUAUCUCCAUCCAGUGACGCUUAGUUUCCACGUGGGGCCUCGCAUGCAGAAAGGCCUACCAGGGGCACUCAGUUUUGUUUGGGGGUAUGUAAAUAGACCGUAUUCCUUUCAUUCUUUUAGCAUGAAAAGUUCACGCAAGUUAAUAAGAACUUGUAAAUCUACAUAGAUGAAAUUAUCUUUCGAAUUUAUUUCCUUUAAAGCAGUUCUUAAAGGAGCUCCUAAAAAAUUUCAGAUUUAUCAUGAUGAUUAGCCCUGAAGAAAAAAAGAAAUGAGAAUUUGGAAUGAGAACAUGGGAGAAAGGGCCUCUCAACUCUGUCUACAAAGUUUCAUUCCCAAAUCUAAAUGAAUAUUAAGAUUCUGUGCAGCAGGGUAGUAGGAAUACAUAUGUUACUGCAUUAAACGCUGUAAACUUCUGUGUUUGAAAUAUUUCACAGUAAAAGUAUUUUCAAAGACCCUAAACCAAAACAGUUGUGCUAAGUACAAUGUAGGGGAUGGUAAGAAUUUGAAUUCAAGUUCUGCUGUGCAGUGUGGCUCUAUUAUCUUGGUUUCAUUAGCUCCCUGAACCUCCCUUUGCUUGUAAAUGGAGACGAAUGUGUAAUCUUCGAGGUCUUUUGUGAGAUAUCAUUCUACUUCUGUAAAAUAAAGAAUAUGUUUAGAAUAUAACAAGCUAACUUAUGAUUCAGGAUUGUUUAUUCAACAUACAUACUUGUGAAUUGGUGAGGCAGUAAGACUUGUAAAAGUUCAGGAGACCCCAAGUCCAAUUGAAAAGAAGGGUACGUACACAUUUUUCUUUUCCA